AGCUGUGCUCCUUUGAGCGCCGUGGCGCGGGCACGCGGAUAGCUCGUGUGCCUCAGGCACGGCAGGCUGGCGGGCGCAGGAAGGAAGAAAAAAGCAGCUGCCCACCAGUGCGUUGGGCUGAGUGGAACAGGGACGGGUGUUAUCCUGGCACACCUUCACAAAGCCUCAGCCUACCAAAAGGGACAACUGUAAACAAUCUGACUGCAAGACUGAUAACCACACCUCCACCCCAGAGCAGGUGUCUGCACCCCUGAUGCAUCUUAAAAAAAACAGUUCCAUAGAUGACAAUUUACUACAUGGAGUAAAAGAACGUGACCAUAAACAUUUGCAAAUCAGAACAAUUGUGGAUUGUAUGAUAUACAAAUUGGAGUCCAACAGAAAGCAGGCCGCUUACUUCAGUCUUCUCUUUAGAUUUAAUGGCAAACUUUUCCACAGAAGAGAUGAGUAGCGUUAAAGAACUGGACGGUGACUGGAAUCACACAUCUUGAAUGAUAUCAGUAAGUGAAGAUUAACCAUCAGAUCAGGUCAACAAUCAUUUGUGACUAACUUUCUUAGUAAGAGUA